UACGUAGGGGGCUAGCGUUGUCCGGAAUCAUUGGGCGUAAAGCGCGUGUAGGCGGUCCGGUAAGUCCGCUGUGAAAGUCGGGGGCUCAACCCUCGAAAGCCGGUGGAAACUGUCGGGCUAGAGUCCGGAAGAGGAGAAUGGAAUUCCCGGUGUAGCGGUGAAAUGCGCAGAUAUCGGGAAGAACACCCGUGGCGAAGGCGGUUCUCUGGGACGGUACUGACGCUGAGACGCGAAAGCGUGGGGAGCGAACAGG
rnacentral:rRNA from 1 species